ACAACACCAUAACCAAGCCAAGCUCGGCUUGUUAUUCAAUAUUCACCAGAGUACCACUCUCUCACAAUCCCUAGUUUUCGCAUUCUCUGCAACAUUUUCCAUCAGGAGACUUUGGCUAUACAAUGUAUUAAGGAGCUUUGAAGAAGACCAAGUCCCCUGGAAGAAGCCUUGGCAUUCAUUGAGCUAAAAUGAGAGACAGCACAGUGCUAAAUUUUCACCAAAAGAAUGGCAGAGUAGUAGAAGCAGGUGCACCUUCAGUGGAGACAGAUUUGGCUUCUUCAAUAAAAGCAGCUACUGAAGUUCCUCCCUCUUCUUUUGAGUUCUAUGUCUGGUCAGAUGCGGGAAUUAAUCUUCAUGUUGAUUUAAAUUUGUCCCCGUCAGAUUGGACUAACAGGUUUAGAAAUGAGGUUCGCAUUAGUGAGUAUGUGCAUGGAGACAAAUCCGGAAACCUUUUGCAGGAUCUCAGUGGCCUAGGAGAGAAUUCUACCCAAGGUAAAUCAUCCUUUUUGUGUAGUACAAGUUCUGGUCAACUUAAUGAUCAUGAUGGACCGGCCAAAUUUUCCUCAAGCUUGAAAUUGACAAAUGAUGGUGUGACAGAAUUGGAUCAACAGAAUAAAGUGGACAGUUGUUUGAUACGUAAUUCAUUCACUCCAUGCAGCAUGACUAAAAAAGUAGCAGAUAAUUUACAGGAAAACCAUUCAGCUGUCUCGGCUGAACUGAAUGUAAAUGCGGUAGACAAUUUAAUACAAGACCGAUCAACGGUCUCAGCUGAAGUAAGUUAUGGUGCACUGAACAAUUUUAUUUCUGGUGCUGAAUCUUGUGCUAAAGAUGUGUCUAAGAAAAUCCUUGAUUCAGAUGCAACCAAUAUGCCAUUCAUCAAGUCAUUUUGUGAUUCUGUUGUCAACUCACUGUCAGAUCCUGGCACACUGGAGCUUCCAAAUUCAAAACCUGAUAAUGAAUGUUCUGAGGAUUGUGCUCUUCUAAAUGGUUCUUGCUUUGUUAACCCUGGGGUGGUGUGUGCUGGAGUUUCACUAAGUAGUUCUGUGGAACUACAAAAUUCAGAAGUUAUAAGUUGUCAUAAAUAUGCAUCAGUUUCACUCUGUGACAAUGAUGGAUCCCUGGAUUUAAGUGAUCCAAAGAGCACUUUUGACAUGGAACAGGAUGAACUAGUCAAUCCAACUGAGAUUAAUUUUGAAACCAAUGGUAACAAUUUCACAUCACUAACUGAAGAAUGGGUAUAGUGCUUUCUCUAGCCUUCGAGAUGAGGUGGGCAAGAUUGUUGAUGGGAGGGAGAGUUCAGAAUGCUCCCAAUUUGAUGAUCCACUUAAGAAAUCUAGCUUAGAUUCUAAUGAUCAGGAUUCUAAAAUCGAGCUUCAUAAAAAGAGGAAAAACAGAGACUCCAAGAUUCAUGGUUCAACUGGUGAACCUACUACAAGAGUUUUACGAAGCAUGAAGAAUACUGCUGCGAUGGUCCUGCCUAGAAGAUCCACGAGGCUAAUCUCCAAGUGAGUUCGUGGAGUGCUUUGUGCAUCAUUUGGGAUGAUUAGUUCCAGAUUUUUCAAUGAAAUUAUAAUCCACUGUUCCAAGGUGGAAGAAUGGCAUUUAUUAGGUAU